CGUAGGGAGCGAGCGUUGUCCGGAAUUACUGGGUGUAAAGGGAGCGUAGGCGGGAUCGCAAGUCAGAUGUGAAAACUAUGGGCUUAACCCAUAAACUGCAUUUGAAACUGUGGUUCUUGAGUGAAGUAGAGGUAAGCGGAAUUCCUAGUGUAGCGGUGAAAUGCGUAGAUAUUAGGAGGAACAUCAGUGGCGAAGGCGGCUUACUGGGCUUUAACUGACGCUGAGGCUCGAAAGCGUGGGGAGCAAACAGGAUU
rnacentral:rRNA from 1 species